rnacentral:lncRNA from 12 species
GUUUCCCCGAGCCCUGAGGGGUGGCACAGGUGAGCCCUGGCCGGGGGGAUGCCCUCACAGAGCUGCACACCCAACCAGGCCACCCACAGCCGGGCCCAGGCCGCCGGAAAGGCCUCGGCGCUCUGCUGCAGCAGCCACAUUUGGGCUCUUUUAAAGCCGUGCUUGGAGGAUGUGAAACACAUGCUGGACUGUCAGCCAAGCCCCACGUUGUAUUUAAAUCAACAGGACUCGCGGCUGCCUGGUCACAACGGGGCGGUGAAGGCCCAAGGACGGAGCGGCCACUUUGACACCUUCCUGCAGUCAUGGCUGAAAGCUGCGCGCUCCAUUCCAAAGACUAUUUUCUGA